rnacentral:rRNA from 2 species
UACGGAGGGGGCUAGCGUUGUUCGGAAUUACUGGGCGUAAAGCGCACGUAGGCGGCGAUUUAAGUCAGAGGUGAAAGCCCGGGGCUCAACCCCGGAACUGCCUUUGAGACUGGAUUGCUAGAAUCACGGAGAGGUGGGUGGAAUUCCGAGUGUAGAGGUGAAAUUCGUAGAUAUUCGGAAGAACACCAGUGGCGAAGGCGGCCCACUGGACGUGUAUUGACGCUGAGGUGCGAAAGCGUGGGGAGCAAACAGG